CUGCAGCCAAUUAAGCUGAGUGAGUUCUUUUCCUCAUGGGGGCCAGGUGUGCAAUGACUGCAAACAGCUGCUUCCCUAGUGUAUGCAGCCUGUUUCUUGUAUGGGUUGCUCUAAGGGACCUUGGAGACAGGC
rnacentral:snoRNA from 1 species